UACGUAGGGGGCUAGCGUUAUCCGGAAUUACUGGGCGUAAAGGGUGCGUAGGUGGUUUCUUAAGUCAGAGGUGAAAGGCUACGGCUCAACCGUAGUAAGCCUUUGAAACUGGGGAACUUGAGUGCAGGAGAGGAGAGUGGAAUUCCUAGUGUAGCGGUGAAAUGCGAAGAUAUUAGGAGGAACACCAGUUGCGAAGGCGGCUCUCUGGACUGUAACUGACACUGAGGCACGAAAGCGUGGGGAGCAAACAGG
rnacentral:rRNA from 1 species